CCUACGGGAGGCAGCAGUGGGGAAUAUUGCACAAUGGGGGAAACGCUGAUGCAGCAACGCCGCGUGAGUGAGGACGUCUUUCGGUGUGUAAAGCUCUAUCAGCAGGGAGUAGAAAAGAAGGUACCUGGAAAGAUGCCACGGCUAACUACGUGCCAGCAGCCGCGGUAAUACGUAGGGAGCCAGCGUUAUCCGGAUUUACUGGGUGUAAAGGGAGCGUAGACGGAAAGGCAAGUCAGAAGUGAAAGCCCAUGGCUCAACCAUGGGAGUGCUUUUGAAACUGUCAAACUAGAGUACGGGAGAGGCAAGAGGAAUUCCUAGUGUAGCGGUGAAAUGCGUAGAUAUUAGGAGGAACACCAGUGGCGAAGGCAUCUUACUGGACCGAAACUGACGUUGAGGCUCGAAAGCGUGGGGAGCAAACAGGAUUAGAUACCCGUGUAGUC
rnacentral:rRNA from 1 species